AUCUCUGCGUGACUUCCGCCAGCGUUUAGAGCGUUUUCGGGGUCCGAGUUGAAGAGCAAAACCAAGUGAAGGAAACUUCACUAAGUUCAGGGUGACAAGGGAGGAAGUACAGAGAAACAGAGCGCUUAAAAAGCACUGUCUGGAUAUCUUCAGAGGGAAAAAGGAGAAAGUUAACUGAAUUGGUGACACUUCGGGUCUCUCACAGAGGAAGGGCCAAGGAGAUUAAGAUCAAGUUGGGAAUUCUCCUCCAGAAGCCAGACUCAGUUGGUGACCUUGUCAUUCCGUACAAUGAGAAGCCAGAGAAACCAGCCAAGACCCAGAAAACCUCGCUGGACGAGGCCCUGCAGUGGCGUGAUUCCCUGGACAAACUCCUGCAGAACAACUAUGGACUUGCCAGUUUCAAAAGUUUCCUGAAGUCUGAAUUCAGUGAGGAAAACCUUGAGUUCUGGAUUGCCUGUGAGGAUUACAAGAAGAUCAAGUCCCCUGCCAAGAUGGCUGAGAAGGCAAAGCAAAUUUAUGAAGAAUUCAUUCAAACGGAGGCUCCUAAAGAGGUGAAUAUUGACCACUUCACUAAGGACAUC
rnacentral:lncRNA from 1 species